AUCCUAAGUGCUCAUAUACCUCCAUUGCCGAAACUUAAGCAAGAAAGAAAACAAAACAAAAAGCUAGGGAUUCGGUUAUAUUCAGGCUUGAUUAAGAUCAAUAACCAAAGAAAUCGGAUUUGGAUCGGGGAAAAACGAAAGUUGUCGACUAGCAGCCCCGUCCUGUUUUACGACGUCUGAGAUUUUGGAGUCAAGCUACAAGCUCAGGGACCGUCCGCAAAGUUCAUCACACUAUCAGUUAUUUUGGUACUUUUUUAAGUUAAACUCGAAUUAUGGCAUGUAUAGGCUAGAGCGUGGUAUGGGAAAUAUUGAGCUUUAAUUUUGUAUUAAGGACAUGCGAAUAUGGCUUAUUUCCAUGCUUGUGUUCGGUUCUAGUUUGAUAAAGGUAUAAGUCCAUUUUGAUUAA